rnacentral:rRNA from 1 species
GCGGCGUGCCUAUACAUGCAAGUCGAGCGAAUCUGAGGGAGCUUGCUCCCAAAGAUUAGCGGCGGACGGGUGAGUAACACGUGGGUAACCUGCCUGUAAGAUUGGGAUAACUCCGGGAAACCGGAGCUAAUACCGGAUAAUAAUUUGAACCGCAUGGUUCAAAUUUGAAAGAUGGCUUCGGCUAUCACUUACAGAUGGACCCGCGGCGCAUUAGCUAGUUGGUGAGGUAACGGCUCACCAAGGCAACGAUGCGUAGCCGACCUGAGAGGGUGAUCGGCCACACUGGGACUGAGACACGGCCCAGACUCCUACGGGAGGCAGCAGUAGGGAAUCUUCCGCAAUGGACGAAAGUCUGACGGAGCAACGCCGCGUGAACGAUGAAGGCCUUCGGGUCGUAAAGUUCUGUUGUUAGGGAAGAACAAGUGCUAGAGUAACUGCUAGCACCUUGACGGUACCUAACCAGAAAGCCACGGCUAACUACGUGCCAGCAGCCGCGGUAAUACGUAGGUGGCAAGCGUUGUCCGGAAUUAUUGGGCGUAAAGCGCGCGCAGGCGGUUUCUUAAGUCUGAUGUGAAAGCCCACGGCUCAACCGUGGAGGGUCAUUGGAAACUGGGGAACUUGAGUGCAGAAGAAGAGAGU